rnacentral:ribozyme from 2 species
UUUUUUUUUUUUUUUUUUUUUUUUUUUUCU